CCUACGGGUGGCAGCAGUGGGGGAUAUUGCACAAUGGGGGGAACCCUGAUGCAGCGACGCCGCGUGGGUGAAGAAGCGCCUCGGCGCGUAAAGCCCUGUCAGCAGGGAAGAAAAUGACGGUACCUGAAGAAGAAGCCCCGUCUACCUACGUACCAGCAGCCGCGGUAAUCCGUAGGGGGGAGGCGUUAUCCGGAUUGACUGGGGGUAAAGGGGGCGCAGGCGGGGCUGCAAGCCACGAGUGAAAACCCGGGGCCCAACCCCGGGACUGCCCUUGGAACUGCGUGGCUGGAGUGGAGGAGGGGCAGGCGGAAUUCGUGGUGUAGCGGUGAAAUGCGUAGAUAUCAGGAGGAAAACCGGUGGCGAAGGCGGCAUGCUGGACUGCAACUGACGUUGAGGCCCGAAAGCGUGGGGAGCAAACAGGAUUAGAUACCCGUGUAGUC
rnacentral:rRNA from 1 species